UACGUAGGUCCCGAGCGUUGUCCGGAUUUAUUGGGCGUAAAGCGAGCGCAGGUGGUUUAAUAAGUCUGAUGUAAAAGGCAGUGGCUCAACCAUUGUGUGCAUUGGAAACUGUUAGACUUGAGUGCAGUAGAGGAGAGUGGAAUUCCAUGUGUAGCGGUGGAAUGCGUAGAUAUAUGGAAGAACACCGGUGGCGAAAGCGGCUCUCUGGACUGUAACUGACACUGAGGCUCGAAAGCGUGGGUAGCAAACAGG
rnacentral:rRNA from 1 species